GGUCUGAUCCUGGCUCAGAUUGAACGCUGGCGGGAUGCUUACAUGCAAGUCGAACGGCAGCACGGACUUCGGUCUGGUGGCGAGUGGCGAACGGGUGAGUAGUCGUAUCGGAACGUGCCUAGUAGCGGGGAUAACUACGCGAAAGCGUAGCCAGUACUGCAUACGGCUCCUUCGGGGGAAAGCGGGGACCUUUCUGGCCUCGCACUAUUAGAGCGGCCGAUAUCGGAUUAGCCAGUUGGUGGGGUAACGGCUCACCAAGGCGACGAUCCGUAGCUGGUUUGAGAGGACGACCAGCCACACUGGGACUGAGUAGACACGGCCCAGACUCCUACGGAGGCAGCAGUGGGGAAUUUUGGACAAUGGGGGAAACCCUGAUCCAGCCAUCCCGCGUGUGCGAGCGAAGGCCUUCGGGUUGUAAAGCACUUUGCAGGAAAGAAACGGCGACGUGGGAUAAUACCCCGUGCAACUGACGGUACCUGCAGAAUAAGCACCGGCUAACUACGUGCCAGCAGCCAUGGUGAAUAUGUAGAAAAAAAGCGUUAAUCGGAAUUACUGGGCGUAAAGCGUGCGCAGGCGGUUCGGAAAGAAAGAUGCAACCGCGAUGUAACUUUGGAACUGUAUUUUUAACUACUGAGCUAGAGUGUGUCAGGGAGGGGAGGUGGAAUCUUCGCGCGGUAGCAGUGAAAUGCGUAGGAGCAGCGUGAGGAAUACCGAUGGCGGGCGCAGCUUCCUGGGAUACGAUUGACGCUCAUGCACGAAAGCGUGGGGAGCAAACAGGAUUAGAUACCCUGGUAGUCCACGCCCUAAACGAUGUCAACUAGCUGUUGGGGCCUGGCCUCGGUAGCGCAGCUAACGGGUGAAGUUGACCGCCCGGGGAGUACGGUCGCAAGAUUAAAACUCAAAGAAUUGCUGAUGGGACCUACAAGGUGGAUGAUGUGGAUUAAUUAGAUGCAACGCGAAAACCUUACCUACCCUUGACAUGUCUGAAUCCCGAAGAGAUUUGGGAGUGCUCGCAAGAGAACCGGAACACAGGUGCUGCAUGGCUGUCGUCAGCUCGUGUCGUGAGAUGUUGGGUUAAGUCCCGCAACGAGCGGCAACCCUUGUCAUUAGUUGCUACGAAAGGGCACUCUAAUGAGACUGCCGGUGAGCAAACUGAGGAAGGUGGGGAUGGAUACCGGAGUCUCAUGGCUCUUAUGGGUAGGGCUUCACACGUCAUACAAUGAGCCGACAGAGGGUCGCCAACCCGCGCAGGGAGCCAGCAAUCCCAGAAACCCGAUCAGUCCGGAUCGCAGUCUGCAACCCUGACUGCGUGAAGUCGGAAUCGCUAGUAAUCGCGGAUCAGCAUGUCGCGGUGAAUACGUUCCCGGGUCUUGUACACACCGCCCGUCACACCAUGGGAGUGGGUUUUACCAGAAGUAGUUAGCCUAACCGUAAGGAGGGCGAUUACUACGGUAGGACUAUGAUCAGUAGUCGUACUGAAGGUAG
rnacentral:rRNA from 1 species